CCACACUUGCAAAGGCGAUGCUCUGAAAUUAGAGGUGAAAGAGGCACGCAUGUGAUCUCAAAUAAAUCCAAACUUCAUGACCCAGAAGAGGUGACCUGAGGCCAACUGGCCUUUAUCUUCUGCCCACUGAAGCCUGGACCCUUAGACGGAUUUAUUUGACUGGAGUAUGUUCACUGAAGAGUCUUGAUAUGGAGCCAAAUGAGCAAUAAGAAAUUACAGAGCAGACAGUGAACAACAGGAUGGAGGGAAAGCCCAGGUGUUCUUAGGCAUGCCGAACCUCGAACGCCUUGUAGGAUGAUUAGAUGUGAGCUCUUGGUUACUGCUGCAGAACCAUGCCUGUCUGCCUCUAUGCUUCCUGCCUGCCAAGGUGAUCAUCGACCAACCCUCUGAAACUGUAAGAAAGCCACCAACUAAAUUCUUCAUUCUAUAAGUUGCCUUGGUCAUGGUAUUUCUCUUACAACAGCAGAACAAUAACUUAGACAGUUUUCUCAUUGUGACAAAAGAUACUGGCUGACCAUUCGGCAGUGGACAAGCAGUUGGUGUGCUCUUCCUGGGGCUCAGAGAAGAAAGCCUCCUGAAGUGGGUCUCAUGAUCAACAACGUUGUUCACAAAUCAAAAUUGACAUUCCUUGACCUGUGCUCCAAUUGGGGACUGUGAAGGACAUAAUAAGGGACUUGGGGUCCAGAUGACACAGCAUACAUUUGACAGUCACUGACUGCAGAACAGAAGACUAUAAGAGCUUCAUGAUGGAAGGAGAAAACACCGAGCUGGAGAGAAGCCAUGGAGCCUGCCCAGUCAUCAAGAGUGUGUGCAGAUCAGCAGGCAUGAGAGGUCAAAGGUCACAAAACCACGAGGCACCGAAUACUGCCUAUACUCCAAACUGCUGCAUGACUGCUAAGGUUUUGCCAUCUAGAGGGCCCCUGAGAAAGUUUCCCAGCUUGUGGUGGUGAAGAUACAGUUCUUCCUCCUAAAGAUUUCCCUCUGAUGUCCAAGGUAGAGGUCCAAACCAGGACUUGUGAUAGGGAGACAGAAGUUGGAGGCUUGAAGAUUUACUAGGUCAUGAGGAUGGAGUCCCCUUGGAAACAUAUAAGUGAAUGGCAGCAUUACAGACCAUCCCUUGGAACCAUGCAACCCAUUUACUGUUGAAUGGAUACAGAAAAUGUGGAGAAACUCUGGAUGUUAAUUAUCAAAGAAAAGAGAUGACAGCACCACACUAACCAACAAGUGGCAUUUGGUUCUGGUUGCCGAGAUGAUGAGAUGGAUGGUACACGGCUGAUGCUGGAGGAAGCAGGGAAAGCAGUCACAUGUCAGAGCUUUCAGGAGUCAGCCUGAGGGUGGACUCAGCCGCACAGGAGAUUCACGCUUCUCUCAAGAUCCAGUGACAGGAAU
rnacentral:lncRNA from 1 species